rnacentral:rRNA from 1 species
GACGAACGCUGGCGGCGUGCUUAACACAUGCAAGUCGAACGGAAAGGCCCCUUUGGGGGUACUCGAGUGGCGAACGGGUGAGUAACACGUGAGUAACCUGCCCUUGACUUCGGGAUAACUUCAGGAAACUGGGGCUAAUACCGGAUAGGAAUCCUUGCUGCAUGGUGGGGGUUGGAAAGCUUCGGCGGUUUUGGAUGGACUCGCGGCUUAUCAGCUUGUUGGUGGGGUAGUGGCUUACCAAGGCUUUGACGGGUAGCCGGCCUGAGAGGGCGACCGGCCAAUUGGGGACUGGGAUCCGGCCCAGACCCCUACGGGGGGCAGCGGGGGGGAAAUUUGCACAAGGGGGGGAGGCCUGAUGCAGCAACCCCGGGGGGGGGAUGACGGCCUUCGGGUUGAAAACCGCUUUCAGCAGGGGCGAAGCUUUUGGGACGGUACCGGAAGAAGAAGCACCGGCUAACUACGG